GUAAUUUAUAGGGUUAGAUUCUAUAUAUUUGUGAUUUUUCUUUAAAGUAGGACAAUGAGGGCCUAUUAAUGUUACUAUAAGUUACAACUCCUUGAGGCUUGUGAACCGGUUCACAUGAUCCAAAUCACAGGUCACCGGCAACCUGGUUUAGUAAAAUAAAUGUUCCAAUAUGCAGACAACUAUAUGGUAUUGAAGAAACAAUCUUUAUCAGACAAUUGUGAUAUUUUGAGGCCAUUGAAUUUGGGUAUUUGGGUGGUAUUUUAUUGCAUUGAGGUAGUUAACAUAGCAUUGAUAAUUGAAACUAAUUAUUAUGCUCAUAAGGUCUUAGAAAAUUAUAGUGAUAAUUUUUAUUUCAUUACAGUAUGUUAAUAUUGUUUUGUCUGUAGG
rnacentral:misc_RNA from 1 species